rnacentral:rRNA from 1 species
UUGGUUACCAAACAGUGAACGGCGGCGUAUGCUCUCGUUCGAUUGGGGGUCGGGUAGCGUUGCGCGUGUACGCACGCAUUUACUACGCGUCUCUCGAAUUGCAGAACGUUCCGCUCUCGGCACGAGCAAGGCCUAAAGUUUUUUGCCCUUGUCAGUGCAGUAGUAGAGCUUGCGAGCGUCUCUUUUAACCAUUUUCAUUCUUAACCU